ACACACACACACACACACACACACACACGCAGAUCGGGCUGGGUGGUACAAUAGGAAGAGCCCCAUAGCCCAUCUCUAGGGUUGACUCGGGCAAGUUUCUGCACGUCCCCGUGCCUCAGUUUCCCCAUCUGCAAAAUGAAGGAUUGAGCUAGAUGGCCUCUUAGAGCCCUUUCAGUUCUAGGGUCUAGAAGAAACAUUCCCGCCUGCAGAAGGACAAGGUUGACCCAAAGGAUCUCCAGCCGCUGAACCCCACGUUCCCCACUUUACAGAGGAGGACGCCUCUGCAGCUGCGGAGAGGCUGUGUGGGUGAUGCAUGGCCGCAGAGCUGGCACUUUCCAAAUGCAGAAACUUGCUUUGAAGGACCUAUUGCAUCACCUCCUGCAGGCAUUCAAGGUCCUCACCAUAAGAGCCCAUUUCUAGAGUAAUUGUAGGUUUUCCUCACAAGCACCUUAUGAGCAGAAGCAA
rnacentral:lncRNA from 1 species